UUCCUCAUUUUUUUCUUUUGUCUUCCUUUACCUCCGUGAAUAGGCAUAUAGUUUACUCUGGCUUGCCUAUUUCUAUUGCAAGGCUCUGUUUCCAAACGAAUAUCUUUUUCUUGUGGAGAGCCUCUCUCUGUUUGUUAUUUAGGUUGAUAAGAGAAAUGUGAACAUUUGAGAGCUCAGGUAAAAGGCCUUAGUCUACAGUGAAACUUUUUUGCACCCUUAGAUGCUUACUUCCACUACAACUUGCAGGUGGGCCUUGAAAAGUUCUUGGAAUAAGUUUGAGCUUCGGUCUUCUCCGAUUCAUUUAGCAUAGAUUCUCAAAAUGUGGUCCCUGGACCCACAGCAUCAGCAUCACCUGGAGAUUGUUAGAAAUGCAAAUCAUCGGGCCUCAUUCCAGACCCUCAGCUGGAAACUCUAGGGGCAUGGCCAGACCCUCUGUAGCUGAACAAGCCAUCCAGGUGGUUUUGAUGCAGCUAAAGUUCUGGAACAACUAAUGUAGCCCCAUUUGGAAAACUUGGCUGUAGAGGCCUCCCUAGCUGGUAAGCUGCUAGCAUUUUUUGUUUGCUUGUUUGUUUGUUUUGAUACAGGGUCUUGCUCUGUUGACCAGACCGUGACCUCCUGGGUUCACGAGGACUCAGACUCCUGAGUAGCCGGGACUACAGAGCGUGCUGUCGUCCAUCGACCUGCGUGACCGUCGGGCUGCACCACGGUGAUGGGCAGCGACGGCAGGUACUUUAGCAGGACGGCCAUCGAGAUCGUGGUGCAGAUGGCCGCGGCCAAUGGGAUCCAGCAGCAUCUCAAGGACAUCUACAAGAGGGAUACCUAACUUCAGGGGUCUCUGAAUGAUAUGUGGGAAACAUCGUCUAAAAAGGUAAUUUUAUC